AGAAAGGGCCCGGGGCUAUAUAAAGCUUCUAACUUCAUAAAGAGUGGUUCAACUCCAUUCCCUAUCUU
rnacentral:tRNA from 1 species